GUUUGGGAGUCGUAAACUCGUAAAUGAUUUUCCGUAGAGGGGGUCCUGCGGAGGGAUCAUUACCGAGUUUACAACUCCCAAACCCCUGUGAACAUACCACUUGUUGCCUCGGCGGAUCAGCCCGCUCCCGGUAAAACGGGACGGCCCGCCAGAGGACCCCUAAACUCUGUUUCUAUAUGUAACUUCUGAGUAAAACCAUAAAUAAAUCAAAACUUUCAACAACGGAUCUCUUGGUUCUGGCAUCGAUGAAGAACGCAGCAAAAUGCGAUAAGUAAUGUGAAUUGCAGAAUUCAGUGAAUCAUCGAAUCUUUGAACGCACAUUGCGCCCGCCAGUAUUCUGGCGGGCAUGCCUGUUCGAGCGUCAUUUCAACCCUCAAGCACAGCUUGGUGUUGGGACUCGCGUUAAUUCGCGUUCCUCAAAUUGAUUGGCGGUCACGUCGAGCUUCCAUAGCGUAGUAGUAAAACCCUCGUUACUGGUAAUCGUCGCGGCCACGCCGUUAAACCCCAACUUCUGAAUGUGAC
rnacentral:rRNA from 1 species